rnacentral:rRNA from 1 species
AGACAGAGGAUGCAAGUGUUAUUCGGAAUGAUUGGGCGUAAAGAGUCUGUAGGCGGUUUAGAAAGUCUUUUGUGAAAUACUUCAGCUCAACUGAGGCUCCGCAAAAGAAACUUCUAGACUUGAGGAAAGUAGAGGUACAGGGAAUUUCCGGUGGAGCGGUGAAAUGCGUAGAUAUCGGAAGGAACACCAAUAUGGCGAAGGCACUGUACUGGGCUUUUCCUGACGCUCAGAGACGAAAGCUGAAGGAGUGAUUAGGAUUAGAUACCCUAGUAAUUUCAGCCGUAAACGAUGAAAACUCACUGUCGAGCCAAUAUAUGGAGCGGUGGUCAAGCUAACGCGUGAAGUUUUCCGCCUGGGGAUUACGCUUGCAAAGUGAAACUCAAAGGAAUUGACGGGGACCCGCACAAGCGGUGGAGUAUGUGGUUUAAUUCGAUGCAACGCGAAAAACCUUACCAGGGUUUGAAAUAAUUUCAAAAACUUCUUGAAAGAGAAGCCUCCUUCGGGAUGGAAUUACAGGUGGUGCAUGGC